rnacentral:rRNA from 1 species
GAUGAACGCUGGCGGCGUGCCUAAUACAUGCAAGUCGAGCGAACAGACGAGGAGCUUGCUCCUCUGACGUUAGCGGCGGACGGGUGAGUAACACGUGGAUAACCUACCUAUAAGACUGGGAUAACUUCGGGAAACCGGAGCUAAUACCGGAUAAUAUAUUGAACCGCAUGGUUCAAUAGUGAAAGACGGUUUUGCUGUCACUUAUAGAUGGAUCCGCGCCGCUUUAGCUAGUUGGUAAGGUAACGGCUUACCAAGGCAACGAUGCGUAGCCGACCUGAGAGGGUGAUCGGCCACACUGGAACUGAGACACGGUCCAGACUCCUACGGGAGGCAGCAGUAGGGAAUCUUCCGCAAUGGGCGAAAGCCUGACGGAGCAACGACGCGUGAGUGAUGAAGGUCUUCGGAUCGUAAAACUCUGUUAUUAGGGAAGAACAAAUGUGUAAGUAACUAUGCACGUCUUGACGGUACCUAAUCAGAAAGCCACGGCUAACUACGUG